UACGAAGGGGGCUAGCGUUGUUCGGAUUUACUGGGCGUAAAGCGCACGUAGGCGGAUCUUUAAGUCAGAGGUGAAAUCCCAAGGCUCAACCUUGGAACUGCCUUUGAUACUGAAGAUCUUGAGUUCGGGAGAGGUGAGUGGAACUGCGAGUGUAGAGGUGAAAUUCGUAGAUAUUCGCAAGAACACCAGUGGCGAAGGCGGCUCACUGGCCCGAUACUGACGCUGAGGCACGAAAGCGUGGGGAGCAAACAGG
rnacentral:rRNA from 1 species